AAGGCUUUAGCUUAAUAAAAGCAUCUGGCUUGCAUUCAGAAGAUACAGGUUAGUGUCCUGUUAGCCUUA
rnacentral:tRNA from 2 species